CCUGUGGGUGUAGUGGUUAUCACGUCUGCUUCACACGCAGAAGGUCGCCGGUUCGAACCCGGCCAGG
rnacentral:tRNA from 1 species